UAGGCUGCAACUCGCCUACACGAAGUUGGAAUUGCUAGUAAUCGUGGAUCAGCAUGCCACGGUGAAUACGUUCCCGGGUCGUUGUACACACCGCCCGUCACACCAUGGGAGCUGGUAACACCCGAAGUCAGUAGUCUAACCGCAAGGAGGACGCUGCCGAAGGUGGGAUUAGCGACUGGGGUGAAGUCGUAACAAGGUAAC
rnacentral:rRNA from 1 species